rnacentral:lncRNA from 1 species
GGAAUUUCUAGUGUCUUAUUUGGCCUAUAAAAGGUGAUAGGGGUAUAAAUCAAGGAGACAAAUAGUACACAAAAUAAAACCAGAUGCUCCGCAGGGCGCAGCUUAAUACGACUGCAGAGGUUGAACCCUGAACAGUAUGGACACAACAUUCAAGCUUGAUACAGCUCUGAAUUUGGAUUGUGAUUAAAUAGUUGACACAGCAAAGGUUUCUGACACAGAAUAAAUGAGGUCUAAUGAACUUUAAAAAAAAUUGUGCUUUUGAGCAAUACACUAUGCUGUUAAAUAUAAAUCCCCUCAAAAAAAAAUAUUUGAAGAAAAAAUCUUUUUAAUUUCUGAAAU